CUGCUGCUUCUGUCCGGGGAAGGAGAAAUCCUGCCGAGGUGGCCGGGAGAAGCAACUCCUGUAGACAUUUGAAUCAAGCUGCGUUGUGCUGUUCCAGAGGUGCAGUGAAAGCAGAUCUUUCAACCCCAGCCCCAGUGUCACAACUUGUACUUCGCUGCCAAGCCACCUCCAUCCAGCUCCAUCCUGGAAAAAGGAGGUGACUCACAUCCCUGCUUUGUGCCAACUGAUGCUGGAGGUGCAUUAGCCAGUGGUGACCCAGCUGUGAGUCACUGCAACAUGGCCACUGUCUGCAACUUUCCAUUUCUUGGCCCUGUUAAUUUUGGGUCCAGUAAUUAUGAGGUGAGCUGUGAAUCACCCCUGUCUCGCUUUACACCAGGAGGAAACCAGGCAAAUUGUGCUAACGUGCUUGGCAGGAGGGAUUCUUGUUCUCUAGCAUUUUAUAGGCUUUGGCCCUUCUUGCUCCCCAGAGUGAUGCGAUGUGCUCACCCUUCCUCAUGUGCAACUGUCACACAGGAUCUGAGCAAGGGGCACAUGACCCAUUGGCACAUGACUCAUGCUCCCUCCAGCCAGGUUUCAUCUCGUGGGUAGGAAUUGAUGUUUCAAAAGACUUGGAGGGGACUCCCAAAGGGUCCUGAAAGCUUUUAUUGAUUUAGUUUGUGCAGUCUAUGCAGGCAGAUUUUAGACUGGAAAAUAGCUUCACGUGGGUAAGUCAGAAGGAGGCCAGACACCCGUGUUGACAUUGGCUUCCACUGCUGCUGGUCUUGAAAUGUUUCUGCCAUUCAGAAGAACGAGCGUGCCCUGGGGCUUGUUCUUCACUGUUUGUUAUGUGGUGUGGUGCACAGCAGCACAACUGCAUCAGAGACCUCCAGCAGAGCCACAGAGAGAUCACUGACUCUUUUGGAAAGGCUUUGGUGGUGAAUCAAGAGAAAAAUGUGCAGGACACUUCCACUUCUUGAUAAGGGACAGACCCUCUCACAGCACUAAACUCCCCAGCAAGCAGAGAUGUUCUUCUGCUGUUAAAUCCUAUCGCUCUGCUUCACCAUUUCAAUUCCCACCACCUGAACAGGACGGAUUCAUCUGUAGCCUUGUUUUACUGUCCUAUGCAGGGUUGGAUUUUUGCGCUUUCCUGCCUCUGCCAGUCUCUCCCCAGCUCAGCUUUACGAUUCAACAUGCCUAUUAAAAACUGGGCUGCAAAAACUUCCUCUCAGAUCGUUUUGCACCCAGGAAUCUCCAGGCCGGAAGGCAGUCACCUAGAGAUUGUGAAGCUGUCGAAGAAGGAUUGGAGGUGGAGGAACUGUAAAUCUACAGGCAUCUGAAAAGCACUGCUUUAAUUUAAGAGGAAUGUCCUUUUGUUCCCAAAUGGAUGGGCCUCAUUCCAAAGGCAUUCAGGUGCAGUAACUGUUACCAGAUGGGCUGUGAAAAGGAACUCAAACAGGUGGUGAAGACUACAGCCACGGACUUGAAUUUCCAUGUCAGCUUCUCCCUGUACCUUACAUGCCCCCUGGUGAACAGGAGGAUGAGGAGAGCUGUCACAGCUGGAACGGCUUUCAAGGGGGUAUUCUGCAACUGUACAUAGUAGGGCAAGCCCUCAGCUCUCAGUGGUGAGACUGUCAUCUGGGCCAGGGUGUGCAGUGCUUAACCAAAGGUCAAACACCUGUUGGGGAGGGGAAAUUAAUUGAUGCGAGAUGAUAUUUUCCAAAAUGAAUAUUGUUUAUUAAAGUCGCUGUUCAGAACUCUCA